UGGGGAAUAUUGGGCAAUGGGCGAAAGCCUGACCCAGCGACGCCGCGUGGGCGAUGAAGGCCUUCGGGUCGUAAAGCCCUGUCAUGCGGAAAGAAAAGUCCCGCGAUUAAUACUCGCGGGAUGUGACGGUACCGCAGAAGGAAGCACCGGCUAACUCCGUGCCAGCAGCCGCGGUAAUACGGAGGGUGCAAGCGUUGUUCGGAAUUACUGGGCGUAAAGGGCGCGUAGGCGGUAAUAUAAGUCAAAUGUGAAAUCCUCCAGCUUAACUGGAGAACAGCAUCUGAAACUGUGUAACUAGAGUACAGGAGAGGGAAACGGAAUUCCCGGUGUAGAGGUGAAAUUCGUAGAUAUCGGGAGGAACACCAGUGGCGAAGGCGGUUUCCUGGCCUGAUACUGACGCUGAGGCGCGAAAGCGUGGGGAGCAAACAGG
rnacentral:rRNA from 1 species